rnacentral:rRNA from 1 species
CAGUAGCCGCGGUAAUACGUAGGUGGCAAGCGUUGUCCGGAAUUAUUUGGCGUAAAGGGCUCGCAGGCGGUUUCUUAAGUCUGAUGUGAAAGCCCCCGGCUCAACCGGGGAGGGUCAUUGGAAACUGGGAGACUUGAGUGCAGAAGAGGAGAGCGGAAUUCCACGUGUAGCGGUGAAAUGCGUAGAGAUGUGGAGGAACACCAGUGGCGAAGGCGACUCUCUGGUCUGUAACUGACGCUGAGGAGCGAAAGCGUGGGGAGCGAACAGGAUUAGAUACCCCAGUAGUCCCUGUCUCUUAUAC